GCCCCUUUGUACUCUUCCACCCCUGACUCUGCAGGCGGCCAUCAUCUGACACAUGCCCAGAGCCUGGGAAAGUUCUUGAGCAACAGUGUGAGGCGCCUCAGCUGGUCGGGAUCUAAGGCUCAGCACGCUGACCACACUCUUCCCACUGGCUUGCUGGCCUGAAAAGGUGCUGGACAAACACAGGAGAAGCAGCGCACCACCACGUUCCAUGCCAACCAUGGGUACCAAUUUCUAUGAAAUAACAAAGAAAUCAUCACAGAUUCUCUCAAAGCCAAAACCCCGAAUAAAACCAACAAUACCACAGUAGCCCCAAAUUAAAGGUUGCAAUCACCAGGCAUGAAAGGGCUGCAGGGCUCCCCAGCUGCAGCCCUCCGUCCCUGCAGAUCAGAACACUCCCCACAUACCCAGUCUUGAAAGCCACAAGAAGGUGCUCGGCAUUUGCAACCAAACUCCAUCAAAUUUACAAGAAAACAGAAGCGAGUAGUUAACGCCCUGACUCAGUGAAAAGGACACAGCCUCUGUGGUUCCCAGGGCUGCUUGGAAAACGACCUGACCCUGCUUUCUGCU
rnacentral:lncRNA from 1 species